AUUGAACGCUGGCGGCAGGCCUAACACAUGCAAGUCGAACGAGUGGCGGACGGGUGAGUAAUGCUUGGGAAUCUUGCUUAUGGAUGGGGAUAACUACGGGACACUGUAGCUACUACCGCGUACCAUAGGAUGAGCCCAAGUGGGAUUAGGUAGUUGGUGAGGCAAAGGCUCACCAAGCCGACGAUCUCUACCUGGUCUGAGAGGAUGACCAGCCACACUGGAACUGAGACACGGUCCAGACUCCUACGGGAGGCAGCAGGGGGGAAUAUUGCGCAAUGGGGGCAACCUGACGCAGCCAUGCCGCGUGAAUGAAGAAGGCCUUCGGGUUGUAAAGUUCUUUAGGUAGCGAGGCGUUAACUACAGAAGAAGCACCGGCUAACUCCGUGCCAGCAGCCGCGGUAAUAC
rnacentral:rRNA from 1 species